GUGCUCACUUUGGCACAUAUACUAAAAUUGGAAUGAUACAGAGAAGGUUAGCGUGGCCCCUGCAUAAUGAUGACACACAAAUUCUUGAAGCGUUCCAUGUUUUU